rnacentral:lncRNA from 1 species
ACAAUACCAACAGGUCUAACAUGAAGUGUGUAGCAAUCCUAUUGGUAUUGGUCAUCUGCUUGGCUGAAGGUGGUAGGACCAGUAACCGAUGUCAUCCAAGUAAGUGUAUUUAACAACAUUUAGUUACCAUUCGACAAUAAUUUACAAUUGAGAUUUCUAUUUUAUCAUACAGGACAAAUUUCUCAAAUUUGAUUAUGAUUUCAGUUUCUUUAUCAUUCAUAUUCCUAUAUUCCAAAAAUAUUACAAUAAAGUAAACCGAUUUAAAAUAAGCAGCUGUUUCAUUUCAAUUAAUUUUUUUUAAAUUUCAUUUAUACAUUUGAACAUGAGUUUGUUUCUUUUGUAUUUUUUUUUAUAAUAUAAUGUCCAUUCUCCGUUAUCUAUUUUAUUCACCAUUCUGUAUGUAAUUCAUUAUCAGUGUUUCCUACGAAAUAAACUCCCAUCUUUAAAAAAAAUACUCAUCUUUUUAGAGUGUGGUUUAGAGAAAGACAAAGGAACGUGUUGUAGACGAAGAUAUUGUUAUCCAAAAACUCAAUAUUACUAUGACCAUGGAAAAGGGAGAUGUCGCCGGUUUAAAUUCAAGGGGUGUAAUGGUAACAAAAACCAAUUUGCCA